rnacentral:ncRNA from 1 species
AGAUAGAGGUGCGGAAAGCAUUAGUAACCUGUGGAGCGGGAGCUGGGAAGCAGGGGAAAGGGCUAACGCCGAAGUACGACAGACGCCGAAUUUGUUGUGCUGGGCCGUCAGUGAAAAACUGCCGGACUGUCGCUGUAAAGCAGCGGAGGGCUAUCU